AGAGAGAGAGAGAGAGAGAGAGAGAGACGAAAAGUGUACUUUUUUCUUGGUGGGUUUUUUACAUUGCAACGUCUCUGAAGCUGCUGCUCUCUCCCCUCUUCUGUCUUGGAAGAAAGAUCUCUUCUUUCCUUUCUGUUUUGUCGUGACUGAAUCCUUCCGAGUGAAUCUGGUCGGAGCUUUGAGUUCGAAUCAGUUCAAGAACAUGUUUCAGGUUCCGUGAUCUUGCUUGGUGUAUCGUUUUGGUUGCGUUCUUUGUGAUUCCUGGCCGCGGAAUAACGUAUCAGGUUUCAAGUUUCAAAGUCUGAAUCUUUAAUCUUCGCCUAGAUGCUGCUCCGGAGAUGGUUUGCAGAUACGGUUUCGAUCCUAUUCGCCCUUCUUUCUUGCACAAACGGAGCAUUUGUCGGAGUAAACCUCGGGACCGAUAUUACCAAAAUGCCAUCUCCCUCGGACGUCGUCUCCUUACUCAAAUCGCACCAAAUCACUCAUAUCCGCCUCUACAACGCCGAUAGCCACAUGCUCAAGGCAUUAGCCAACAGUAAUAUCGAAGUUAUGGUCGGUGUAACAAAUGAUGAGCUGAUCAGUAUCGGGCGAAACCCUUCAUCGGCGGCCUCGUGGAUCAGUGAAAACGUCGUUUCUUACGUACCUUCGACCAAUAUAACCGCCAUUUCCAUCGGAAGCGAGGUUCUCACGACGAUCCCUCAUGUCGCCCCAGUUCUCGUCUUGGCUUUAAACAACGUUCACAAGGCUCUCGUGGCGGCUAACUUGAACUUUAAGGUGAAAGUUUCGACUCCGAUGUCUAUGGAUAUCAUCCCGAAGCCAUUUCCUCCGUCCACCGCGACUUUUGACUCGUCUUGGAACACGACGGUUUAUCAGAUUCUUCGGUUUUUGAAGAACACGGGAUCGUAUUUCAUGCUGAAUGCUUAUCCUUACUAUGGUUACACUACCGGAGAUGGGAUUUUUCCGCUCGAGUACGUUCUCUUCAAGCCGGUUUCUCCAGUUAAACAGAUCGUGGAUCCGAACACGCUUUUACGCUACAACAGCAUGUUCGACGCCAUGGUUGACGCUGCUUAUUACUCAAUACAAGCUCUGAACUUUUCCAAGAUCCCGGUUUUUGUCACGGAAACAGGCUGGCCAUGGCUCGGGGGAGGGAACGAACCAGCUGCCACGGCUGGAAACGCCGAGACAUUCAACGGUAACCUGAUAAAGCGAGUCAUGAACGGCUCGGGACCGCCUAGUCAGCCGGAUAUCCCCGUCAAUACAUAUAUAUACGAGCUCUACAACGAAGAUAAGCGAUCCGGGCCAGUUUCUGAGAGGAACUGGGGGAUGUUCUACUCGAACGGUUCAGCGGUUUAUCCUCUGAGCUUGAGCGGAUCAGAACCCGCGGCUCUGAACGGUUCAGGCGGCGUUUUCUGCAUGGCGAGAGAGGAGACAGACCCGGACAAGCUUCAGGACGGUCUGAACUGGGCAUGCGGCCAAGGCCGAGCCAAUUGCGCAGCCAUUCAGCAGGGACAACCUUGUUAUCUGCCCAACAAUCUCAAGAGUCAUGCUUCUUUUGCAUACAAUGAUUAUUACCAGAAGAUGAGAAGUGUCGGAGGAACAUGCGAUUUCGACGGGACCGCCAUUACCACGACAAGAGAUCCUAGCUACGGAAAAUGUAUAUACACCGGCAGCGCAAACGCAAACGCUACGGGUGGUGGAAACUUCCCUCCGGCUGCGUUUGGACCUGUGAGUCCCUUUCGAGGAAACGCAAACGCGGUCGUGGUCUCAGGCCGCUAUCUUACGUUCUUGGCUCCGUCAUUGGUUACGGUGAUAGCAGUCUUGAUUCAGAACAACGACCGCGUUUUGUAGCUUGGUGAUCACGUUUCCCGGUGGUUCCUGAACGGCGUUUUGAGUUAAACCGGAGAAGACCAGGAUAUGUGAAAUAUCGUUUUCCUUUUGGGAUCAGCGAGAAAUUAGCAAGUCCAAUGAUGAGUUCAAAACGCUGCGUUUCGACGAACCGUCGUUCGAGACGUUACGGGGUAGUGAACGUAAAAGCAGGUUUUGGAUUUCGAUUAGCGGCGGAGGCGGCGGCGGCGGAAUGAUGCCACCGGCGGAGACGGGAGGCUGAAAGGCCAUUCCUAGUGGAGGAACGGGAACGGCAUCGUCUUGGGUAUCGAAGACCUCUGUGUCGGAGCUGAACAUGGAUCCACCUCCCGAGUGAUCCGCCGGACCAGAGGGCGAUAAUCUCUGCCAUUGGAUCGCCACCAUUAUGGAUCCCGAUGGGUUGUGUCCUUCGAUCUCUAUGUGCUUGUUUUCCAGAAGAUUCAAUGUUGCUCCCGUUGUCGUUUUGAAUUCCUUUGGCUUUGUCCUGGGUUUUUUGUUUUGACGAAUGUAGAGUGACUUCCAGUUUUGAGGCGUUGAUUUCAAAACCCGGUUCCUUCUAA